GGCAAGAUGACCGAGUGGUUAAGGUGCCAGAUUUAAGUUUACUCCGCCUGAAAAAGGUGGGCCAGGAACUCUGGUGGGGAGACCCGCGGGAGUUCGAACCUCCCUCUUGCCA